rnacentral:rRNA from 1 species
UACGUAGGGUGCAGGCGUUAAUCGGAAUUACUGGGCGUAAAGCGUGCGCAGGCGGUCUUUUAAGUCAGAUGUGAAAUCCCCGGGCUUAGCCUGGGAACUGCGUUUGAAACUGAAAGGCUAGAGUGUGGCAGAGGGGGGUGGAAUUCCACGUGUAGCAGUGAAAUGCGUAGAGAUGUGGAGGAACACCGAUGGCGAAGGCAGCCCCCUGGGCUAACACUGACGCUCAUGCACGAAAGCGUGGGGAGCAAACAGG